AUCAAAACUCCAAACCUCAUCCGAAGCAGACUAGAUAUGAAAAGGCUAAAUUACAGAAAUUCUCUGUCAAUAUCCAUUUUUUUACUUUUUUCUCCUUACCAUUCAAAAAUCUAUAUUUUGUCGUCUUAAAAAUAAAAAAAUAUUCACUUUAGCCCCUGCUGUUAGUGUUCUAUUAGGGUUCCGUUUAUAUCUUAUUUUUUAUACCCAAAAUAUCUCUGAAACCCUUAUUUAUACCCACACACAUGCCCUUAGCCGCCGCCUCGCCCUCGCCUUCGCCUUCGCCCUCGCCCACCCCUCUGUCUAUGCCUAAACGCAUGCCCUUUUCUCUCCU
rnacentral:lncRNA from 1 species